GGGUCAGUAGGUUGGUCGUGCCACCGGUACGUACUGGUCUCACUGAUUCCUCCUUCCUGAAGAACCGUAAUGCCAUUAAUUUGGUGUUGCGGGGAAACAGGACUGUUACUUUGAAAAAGUUAGAGUGUUUAAAGCAAGCUAACGCUUGAAUACACUAGCAUGGAAUAAUGAAAUAGGACGAUCGAUCCUAUUUUGUCGGUUUCUAGGAUUGACGUA
rnacentral:rRNA from 1 species